rnacentral:rRNA from 1 species
AUGAAGCUGGAUUCGCUAGUAAUCGCGCAUCAGCCACGGCGCGGUGAAUACGUUCCCGGGCCUUGUACACACCGCCCGUCAAGCCAUGGAAGCCGGGAGUGCCUGAAGUACGCGACCGCAAGGAGCGUCCUAAGGUAAAACCGGUGACUGGGGCUAAGUCGUAACAAGGUAAC